UUCUCUGCCUCGGCUUGAUCAUUGAUCUUCUGCCUCUCAAGACGACCACGAGCCUCCUGCUCCAGACGCUCUGCCUCGUGUCUGAGAGAAAGAGAAUGUGUAUUAAAGUGUGUUAAAGACAAAUACAUGGAAAACAUAUCAGCAUAUGGGUUUGGAAAGAAAUGAGGGGCAUCACGGGUCCGCUGGUCCACCGGCUCCACAGACUGAAUGUCCACGCUGCUGAUAAUUAACCCAUUCUGAGCAAAACGCAGGCUGGACUUCACCGCCAGUUUCUCAUCAAAACCAAAGACAGCUGAACAGAUGAU